AUGAGCGUAGACAAUAAUGAUACAAAAGCCUUAACAGCAUGGAAAAUGACCACACAAUCACUCCCCCUCCCUUUUUUUACAUUUACAGAAGGACAAAUAAGCAAGCUGUUGCCUGGCUGUAGCCAUGUCUUCAUGUCUAAUGGAAUCUUCUACCAAAUUCCCUUUAAGCGAGGGUCAGCUUUCAACAAGUGGUUUCUUGUCAGGAGCAACCAUGACACAAGCAGGCAGAAACACAACGCAGGCAUGAGACAUUUCAGGCAAGAGAGCCACAUCUGAGCAAAAUCUCUGGGAGGCUGAUGACAAGAGAGCUAGUGAUGACAAGGAACACUUCCUGGCCACAGGCGUUCACUUCCCCUAUCAGAGGCGUUCUACAGACAGAAUAAGUUAGACCAAUAUUACAUCAAAAACAUAUACGAAGACAAGAAUACAGUACAUAUUUAUGUAAACACUAAAAAAUGGCAUAUACAAAAAUAAACUGGCAAUCAUGCACUAAAAAUCCUGGCAUAUUGAUAUGGGUACAGAACGCAAACCCGCAGAUUUAGACACAUAGCCAUAUGAACAUUCACAUUGAGAGUGAAGGGAAAGAGAGACUGGUUACAGUCUAAAAGAAUGAACAGACACUGAUGGACAGAUGGACAAAACAGAUGGAACCAUACUUCCCCUCCUUUAGUCUCUAACACACGCACACCCAACCAUCCACAUCACACAACAUCCACACAUGGUUGUAUUUUCACAUGAGCAUUGCCAAAAGAGUUGGUUCCUUCGGAAGGAACUAAACCAUCUUCUUUUGCUCGAGGCAUGACUUUGAUAGUUCCGAAAUCCAGCCACUUAUGUUGUCUUGAUAUCUUUCAGCAAAUACCAAUUCACUCAUCUGUUUCUCUGCAUGUGGCUGUGAUGGUUUGGUUUAAAAAACUGGCUGUUCAGAUUUAGACGUGCCCCCGAUGUUUCAACAUGUUCUUUGAACUGGCCAAAUUAAAACGGUGUAAAUUGCAUGCUGAUAUGCGCCGAAAAGGUUCUCUGGUUACUCACAUAAUAAAUUUGUUCUUACCUUUGUUGAAAUGUUAAUGAAUCCACAUUGGGGAGUGCAGGCCUGCAGAUAGUAAUUAGCAUAAUACACACCCAAACCUUCUCCAUAUGAGGAGUUUCUGCUCAAGCUCACUUGUACAGGUGCAACUUGUUUUUUUUAUUCCUGUUUUUAUGCACAACAUUUUCAAAUAAUUGUAGUUACAAUAAACAUAAA
rnacentral:lncRNA from 1 species